UGUUUUAUUCUCCAGGUUUCUGGUUCCUCGUGUUUUAUUUCUGGUUCCUCGUGUUGUAUUCUCCAGGUUUCUGGUUCCUCGUGUUUUAUUUCUGGUUCCUCGUGUUGUAUUCUCCAGGUUUCUGGUUCUUCGUUUUUUAUUCUCCAGGUUUCCGGUUCCUCGUGUUUUAUUCUCAACAUUUCUGGUUCCUGGUCUUUUAUUGUGCAGGUUUCUGGUUCCUUGUCUUUUACUCUCCAGGUUUCCGGUUCCUCGUGUUUUAUUCUCAACAUUUCUGGUUCCUGGUCUUUUAUUGUGCAGGUUUCUGGUUCCUGGUCUUUUAUUGUGCAGGUUUCUGGUUCCUCGUCUUUUACUCUCCAGGUUUCUGGUUCCUCGUGUUUUAUUCUAAAAAUUUCUGGUUCAUCGUCUUGUAUUGUGCAGGUUUCUGGUUCCUCUUGUUUUAUUGUGCAGGUUUCUGGUUCCUCGUGUUUUAUUUCUGUUUCCUCUUGUUUUAUCGUGAAGGUUUCUGGUUCACUCGUGUUUUCUUCUCUCUCCGAUUUUACAAACUCCAUCUUCACAGCAGCAGAUCUCAGUUCAGAUGAUAAACUCCUCCAGAUAUUCCUGCUCGCUUCAAAACUCAGUCACGACUGUGAGGACGAGAAUAUUACAGCGCCUCCCGCUGGACUGGAGCGAAGCGAAGAAAGGAAGAAAACCCAGGACGUUGUAAGGAUGUCGCCAGUUCGUCAUCAUUUAGCCCCAAGAGGGUCUGGCUGCAGACAUUUGGGCGAGUGGAGCUCCACUCAAGAGCGGAAAUACGUCACCUCCACUAGCGACGCCGCCGCCAUUUUGGACCGGGCCACACUUUACGUAGAAUUACGUCGCCUCCACUAAUGACGUGGCCGCCAUGUUGGUCCGGGUAACACUUUACGUAGAAUUACGUCGCCUCCAUGGGGGCGAGUGGAGCUCCAUUUAAGAGGGAAAAUAUGUCACUACCACCAAACUUUCGUUUUGUAUUACUUGUUAUAUACACGUAUGGUGCUUUGCCAGUUAUGUCACCUCUUUGUACGUAAUGUUAAUAGACCCUUUUACAGUUGGUAAACAAGGUGACGUAUUUGUGUGGGCGGGGCUUAGCUGGAGGCAGAAAGAUUGAGAGGCAUUGUCGGUACACGAUCCGUCCACCUGCACGAUCCGUUCAGCGCAUGCGUAGUAGACUCUUUAGAAAACGCACAUGCGCAAAUGAUAAUUCUGUUUUGUGACGAUUUACGACGCUGCACGAUCCGUUCCACGCAUGCGCAAAUUUGUACCGCGAAUUCCCUCACAGCGAAAGAAAAUGGAGUUCAGCGGAAGAAAUGAGAAGUUUGCCCUUUACGAUGCCGUUAGGCAAUAUUUGGUUGACGGGUUAGUGGAUACGGUGUUAAAGAAGAAGGUCUCACGAAUGGCUGCAAAUUUACAUCAUAUGAUAUAUUCAAAAAUAGAAGAUCAUAACAAACAGUUCAAGUCAAGGAGGAACAGGUAGAAGUGGAGGAGCUGCCCCUCACAUUGAAACACAUGUACGAGGCAGAAUACAUUGUGAGGAACAGUGUUGGGCUUUUCACUGGCCAGAUGCAAGAGCCAACAUACAUGUUCAUGGAUCAUGAUGACCGAAGGGAAGCAUGGAGGGAGCUGGAGUUAAUGCAGUGCCAUGCUAUGGAGCCCUUCACAUUCAUUUUUGAAAAAAUCAAGGACAUGGAAACCUUUAUGAUUAUUUGCAAAGACACCCUCAACCUGAGAGUAAAUGCUGGAGUUGGCCUGCACAGUGACCCACACUCUGUGUGAGUGUGUGUGUGAGAAAGGAAGUGUGUGUGUGUGUGUGUGUGUGUGUGUGUGAGAGAGAGAGAGAGAGAGAUAGAGGGGGAGAGAGAGAGAGAGAGUGUGUGUGUGUGUGUGAGAGGGGGAGAGAGAGAGUGUGUGUGUGAGAGAGAGGGGGAGAGAGUGUGUGUGUGUGUGUGUGUGAGAGAGAGAGAGCGAGAGGAAGGGUAGGAGAGUGUGUGUGUGUGGGAGAGAGGGGGAGAGAGAGUGUGUGUGGGAGAGAGGGGGAGAGAGAGAGAGGAAGGGUAGGAGAGUGUGUGUGUGUGUGGGAGAGAGAGGAAGGGUAGGAGAGUGUGUGUGUGUGUGAGAGAGAGAGAGUGUGUGUGUGAGAGAGAGGGGGAGAGAGUGUGUGUGUGUGAGAGAGAGCGAGAGGAAGGGUAGGAGUGUGUGUGUGUGUGUGUGUGGGAGAGAGAGUGUGUGUGGGAAAGAGGGGGAGAGAGAGAGAGGAAGGGUAGGAGAGAGAGUGUGUGUGUGUGGGAGAGAGAGGAAGGGUAGGAGAGUGUGUGUGUGAGGGAGAGAGAGAGAGAGUGUGUGUUUGUGAGAGAGAGAGAGAGUGUGUGUGUGUAUGUGUGAGAGGGAGAGUGUGAGAGAGAUAGGUUGGGAGAGUGGGAGAGAGAGAGAGAGAGAGAGAGUCUGUGUGUGUGAGAGAGGGUGAGAGUGUUUGUGUGUGAGAGAGAAAGCCAGAGAUCAUUUUUACUGUUAAAUAAAACUUCUGUGUGCACA